ensembl:lncRNA
CCUUUUUUUCUGUGCGUAUAUUCUGUUUUGCAUAAGUCGGUGUGCCACCGGAAGAACCGCCCAUGCAGCUGCAUUUUUCCUCCGUCCCUUGGCAGCUCUGUGGAAUGUCUGUUUAUGCGACUUGUAGUUAAUUUGCAAGUAGGUCGAGAGAGCUAGUUCCGUGCGGUCAGGACCACAGAUGUGACUAAACUGCCCAAGGCCACCACCAGAGCUCCGAGCAGAAACUUCCAAGAAAUUCCCUGAAAGACAUUUGCUGCAAAAGGCUGUCUAAGAUCGUGAACUUGUUCGGGCUGACAGUGACAUUUCAGGAGCUGAACAGAAGAGAUCCCUGGGGUCCACGGGAUAUACCAUCUUUCCCACGCAACCUUAUCUAGCAUUAUUACUUUCAGAAGUUGGUCACAUGACCACACAUAAAUCAAUAGACUGACAAAUAAAAGGCCUGAAACUGAGUCGAUUUCACUGUGCACAUUUAUUAAGUAUGUUCCCA